rnacentral:tRNA from 1 species
GGAUUCUAAACUAAACUAUUCUUCG